rnacentral:rRNA from 1 species
GCUCAGUAACACGUGGAUAACAUGCCCUAAGGUGGGGGAUAAUCUCGGGAAACUGAGGAUAAUACCCCAUAGGUCUUCUAUGCUGGAAUGCUCGAAGGCCGAAAACUCCGGUGCCUUAGGAUUGGUCUGCGGCCUAUCAGGCAGUAGUGGGUGUAAUGGACCCACUAGCCCGUGACGGGUAUGGGCCUUGAGAGAGGGAGCCCAGAGAUGGACUCUGAGACAUGAGUCCAGGCCCUACGGGGCGCAGCAGUCGCGAAAACUUCGCAAUGGGGGCAACCCCGACGAGGGAAUUCCAAGUGCCAGCACUUUGUGUUGGCUGUUCUCUUGUCUAAAAAACAAGAGGAGUAAGGGGCGGGUAAGACGGGUGCCAGCCGCCGCGGUAAUACCCGCGCCCCAAGUGGUGGUCGAUAUUAUUGAGCCUAAAACGUCCGUAGCCGGUCUUUUAAAUCCUUGGGUAAAUCGGGCAGCUUAACUGUUCGACUUCCGAGGAGACUGGAAGACUUGGGACCGGGAGAGGUCAGAGGUACUUCUGGGGUAGGGGUAAAAUCCUGUAAUCCUGGAAGGACCACCGGUGGCGAAGGCGUCUGACUAGAACGGAUCCGACGGUGAGGGACGAAGCCCUGGGGCGCAAACGGGAUUAGAUACCCCGGUAGUCCAGGGUGUAAACGCUGCGGGCUUGGUGUUGGGGGUCCUUUGUGGGCGCCCAGUGCCGGAGAGAAGUUGUUAAGCCUGCUGCUUGGGGAGUAUGUCCGCA